rnacentral:rRNA from 1 species
CAGGAGUGUGUAACAACUCACCUGCCGAAUGAAUUAGCCCUGAAAAUGGAUGGCGCUAAAGCGGGUAGCCGACACCAUGCCGUCUGUUUAAUAGAUAACAGAUGAGUAGGAGGGCGUGGAGGCCGUAUCGAAGCAUGCGUGCAAACGCGUGUGGAACGGCCUCUAGUGCAGAUCUUGGUGGUAGUAGCAAAUAUUCAAGCGAGAUCCUUGAAGGGCGAAGCGGGGAAGGGUUCCACGCGAACAUUGAUUGGGCGUGGGUGAGUCGUUCCUAAGCCGAGUGGCCAUUGCUAGAUAACGGCGAAAGGGAAGCGGGUUGAAAUUCCCGCACACGGAUGUGGAGGCGGUGACGCUUUAUUGGGGCGAACACGCCGGCGGUGGCGCUGGGCAGAGAUGUCUUUUCUGUUUAACCAUAUAGCGCGCUGUGUGGAAUCCGCUUGUCGGGAGAAACACGCGUGCAAGGGAAGAGCGCCGGGGCUUUUCCGGCGUCCAGCUCGCCACCGACGGCCCUUGAAACUUUGCCUGCUGAUUUAAGAUCCACGCCGUGGCGUACCGAUAACCGCAUCAGGUCCCCAAGGUGAACAGCCUCUGUCCAAUAUGAAUAAUGCAGGUAAGGA